UACGUAGGGGGCAAGCGUUGUCCGGAUUUAUUGGGCGUAAAGAGCGUGUAGGCGGCCAUGUAGGUCCGUUGUGAAAACUCGAGGCUCAACCUCGAGACGUCGGCGGAAACCCUCUGGCUAGAGUCCGGAAGAGGAGAGUGGAAUUCCUGGUGUAGCGGUGAAAUGCGCAGAUAUCAGGAAGAACACCCGUGGCGAAGGCGGCUCUCUGGGACGGUACUGACGCUGAGACGCGAAAGCGUGGGGAGCAAACAGG
rnacentral:rRNA from 1 species